rnacentral:misc_RNA from 1 species
AAGUCGUAACAAGGUUUCCGUAGGUGAACCUGCGGAAGGAUCAUUAACACAAAACUUUUUUUUUCUUCUUUCUGAAAAGGAAAAGAAAAAAAAAAUCCCCAUAUCCACCCCUUUUUGAACGAACUUGAUUUUGUGUGAAAACACAGCUUCAUUUCUCCUCUUUAUUUUUUUAACAACUUAUUUUACCCCAUAUAACCAAACAUGCGAUAGACUGAUAUCAUUUUUAUGAUCAUUAAUAUUAUGUUAAUGAAUAUAAAAAACAACUCUUAGCAACGGAUAUCUUGGCUCUC